rnacentral:lncRNA from 10 species
GUGCCAGCCAACUGUGGCUGCCUGGGACACUCCAUCUUAAGUCCCUGUGCCUCUGCUGUGUGUUACUGAGUGCCUAGGCCGUGCCAGCCUGUAUUCAUCUGUACUAUGACCUGAAGAGGCAGAGGCCAUCACUGUUGGUCCGGUCUCCACCUGGGGAAACUGAGGUGUCUCUGUGGUGACGAGCAGGGCUUCAUCCAGUGCCUCUGUCCCCACCGAGGGGACUAUGGGAGACAUGGAGGGUGUGUGAGCAACAGGUGAGACUGGAGCCAGCUGAAAACUGGGAGACCGACCCAGCCAACAAACAAUGUCGGUCUCUGUCUUGGCACCUGCAGGAAACAAGCUCCUACUUCCAGAAAAAGUGCUCCUGGGACUCCAGGAUACCAGGUAAACUCUCUGAGCCUGUUUCUUCAUCUGCAAAGGGGAAUAACAGGGCCAGCCUCAGACACU